CUCUUCACCGUCUCGGCAAAGGAAACGGCCACAUUCUUCAGGCUCACCAGACCCAGCACCACACUGGUGAACCUACAGAAUGGAACAGCAGAGAUAGGAUGUACUUGUUGAGGAAAAGUGUGCAGAAGCUGAAGAAAUACCACAGGCCCAGGUAGACCAGCGACUUGGAGUUCCACACCCCUGAAUCUGCCUCGAUUAUCGUGGUCUCUGUGAUGGUGAUCUUCAGCACGUGUUCCCCCGGCAUGCUCUCGCUGCGUGCCAGCACCACACGCUCCUGCCUGCUUCGAAACGGCGAAAGGAACCGCCACAGGGAAUGUCUCCCAGCCCAACCGUUGGACGCCAUGAAGCACAGCGCCCGAGGAUCCACUGACCAGGAUCCAGCAGGCACAAAUACAGAGAUGAGGGGGAGGGGACUGGUGGAGAGGACCGGUCAGUCCAUCGUCAGUCUGUGUGUCUAUCCAACGGUGUGUUCAGCAUGACUGUAGAACUGGUGGUCUCUGCAACACAGCUAAAACACAAGGAAUGAAUAUAGUUGACAGUCUUCUAGCAUUAUGCCAUUUUUAAAUAAUCCUAAAACAGAUCAAAGUUACUUAACCCAUAUGCAGUCUUUACUGAUUUUCUAAACGAUACACUAGACAUUGAAGGCAAUACUGCCGGGCACAAACUUCUAACAGCGCAAACCAAGAGUCAGAUCCACAAGACAUGGCUAUUAAAAGCCAUGAGUGGUGAGUAGGGUUGCAAAGGGUCGGACAUUUUAAGGGAAUAAUUUGAGGAAUUUUACUUAAAUUCAUUAAAAAAAGUUAGCUUAUAACAGUGAACCUUUUUUGUGGGAUACACAUAAGGCAAUUCUAGGUCUUGUGGCAUAUUUUGGUUAAACUAUCCCCAAUUCAAUGGAAUUGCAACCCUAUGCAUGUGCAGUGCACUCAAGAGCUUGCACACUAAUGAGAUGCUAUUGAGCCCACACUACUACACUGUCUGAGCCAAGGACUACAUGCUUUCUGGUUAGUUUUGCAAUACUGGCUGGGGUGAAUAUAUUUCAUAGGACAUACAUGAAUUUUUGUUAACUAGUAAAUUGUAGCCUACAGAAAAGUGUGUUUAAAUAAUUUAUCAUUUGUUAACAAUUUCUGCUAGUUAGUUUUUGCUACCAUGUGGGUUUUUAGCUUGCUUGAGCCUGCUAACUGAGGAGUGUUAAUUCACCUGUUUCCAUACAUGUUUCAUUGUAAAACAUGUAUCUUACAAAGGAGUUGUUUAAUCUAACUUUCCCAAUCUUCAUAGGAAAACGCCACGGGUCUCUAUCUGAUGUAUGGAGACAUUUCACUGCAGCUAAUGUAGAAGGAAAAGCUGUGUAUAUUUGCAGAUACUGGGCCAAAUCAUAUGUGAAGAAUGCAACAAAGAUGUGGAAUCAUCAGGCCAAGUGCAUAAAGUUCCCUCAGCGCUCACAACAAGCAACCUCUGAUAAGUCAGUCUACAUCUAUUUGAGGUGAAAAUUAUGAAUCAGACACCUUAUCGAUAGUAACAGCUCAUGGUCCUCCUGGAAGUUUUUUUUACUCAAUGGAGGAACUGCACAUGGGGACAAAGAUUGUACUUUUUGGAGUAAUGUCCCCUUGUCUGAUAAUACAAAAAUAGAACUGUUUGGCCAUAAUGACAAUCGUUAUGUUUGGAGUCAAAAUGGGUAGGCUUGCAAGUCGAAGAACACCAUCCCAACCGUGAAGCACUGGGGUGGCAGCAUCAUGUUGUGGGGGUGAUUUGCUGCAGGAGGGACUGGUGCACUUCACAAAAUAGAUGGCAUCAUGAGAAAGGAAGAGUAUGUGGAUAUAUUAAAGCAACAUCUCAAGACAUCAGUCAGGAAGUUAAAGCUUGGUCGCAAAUGGGUCUUCCAAAUGGACAAUGACCCCAAGCAUACUUCCAAAGUUGUGGAAAAUGGCUUAAGGACAACAAAGUCAAGGUAUUGGAGUGGCCAUCACAAAGCCCUGACCUCAUCCUAUAGAAAAACGAGGCCUACAAACCUGACUCAGUUACACCAGCUCUGUCAGGAGGAAUGGGCCAAAAUCACCCAACAUAUUGUGGGAAGCUUGUGGAAGGCUACCCGAAACAUUUGACCUAAGUUAAACAUUUUAAAGGCAAUGCUACCAAAUACUAAUUGAGUGCAUGUAAACUUCUGACCCACUGGGAAUGUGAUGAAAGAAAUAAAAGCUUAAAUAAAUCACUGUACUAUUAUUCUGACAUUUCACAUUCUUAAAAUAAAGUGGUGAUCCUAACUGACGUAAGAGAGAGAAUUUUUACUAGGAUUAAAUGUCAGGAAUUGUGAAAAACUGAUAAGCAUGCAAUAAGCAUGCAACCAUUAAGAAAAUGACUGUUAAAUCCCUGUGGAUUGAUGAGAAAUUGAAAAAUGGUGUGGUUGAGAGGGAUGAGGCAAAAGGAAUGGCAAAUAAGCCUGGCUGUACAAACGUUUGGCAAACAUAUUGCAAAUUGAGAAAUCAUCUAAAAUAAACUGAAUAAAAAGAAGAAACUACACAAUGAAACCAAGAUAAAUGACAAAGAAUGAUAGUAAAAAGUUUUGGAGCACCUUAAAUGAAAUUCUGGGGAAAAAAGCAAACUCAGCUCCAUCAUUCAUUGAAUCAGAUGGCUCAUUCAUCACAAAACCGGCUGAUAUUUCCAACUACUUUAAUGAUUUUUUCAUUGGCAAGAUUAGCAAACAUAGGCAUGACAUGCCAGCAACAAACGAUGACAUUACAAAUCCAAGUAUAUCUGACCAAAGUAUGAAAGACAAGCAUUGUAAUUUUGAAUUCUGUUUAAGUGAGUGUGGAAGAGGUGAAGAAAUAACUGUUGUCUACAAGCCACCGGGAUCUGAAAAUUAGGAUAAUAUCGAACAAUAUUACCACUCCUAUUUGCCAUAUUUUCAAUUUAAGUCUACAGUGGUCCCUCCUUUAAAAGUUGUGUCAUACCGCGGCACACCCUGCGUUCUGCUGCAGCAGCAUUCUGUGGCACGUCAUUUCAUUCUCAGCCAUUUCUUCUGUUACUGCAAGUUAUUGCUAGUUUGACCACCAGAGGGCAUCUUUGAGAAGCAUUUGAUAGUAUUUUUUAUUGGCAUUACCAGAGAAUGUAAAACCUUUUUUGUAAUAACAUAGUAUGGGAUUGAUUUUAAGAAAUGUGGCUUAAUUCAUUUGAUUCAUAUUAUGGUGUUUCCAUUCAGAGAAAAAAACUAAACCCUGAGGGUUUCCGUUAGGAUAGAAUGGUAAAUAUGGCCCUGUACAACGUGAUUGUCGGGAGUAGGCUACAGGAUUGGAGGAUUCUAAAUUGUUUGUCUUCAUGAGACAACUUUGUUCCAAUAUUUCUGUAAAUCAGUGAUAUUUAUUCCCAUAGUAAUUUGUUAUGGAUCCAUAACUAAAAUCAACAUCUGCAUUUUGAAAGAGUAUUUUUUAUCUUUAUUUUAUUAAUGAAAGUAAUCAAGUCAAUAAACGUUGGGUAGUUAGUUAGCCUGUAGUUAGUAUACUGGUAAGUUUGAUGUAUAACUACUAACGUUAGGUAGCUAGCUAACAUACUGGUACAUACUGCUGUAAUAAUAUGCUAUGUGGUUUGUAAGGACAGCGUAGCUAACAAAUUGACAGCAAACAUAACGUGUAAGGUAACUUAUUUGAAAAGUCAUUACUUUAUUACAUUGAGUAGCAAGCCACCCCUUGGUCGUUAGGGCAAAUCUGGUCUGUGAUAGGGGGGAGGGGGUUUCACACCUAGCUCAGCUAUUAGACUAUUCUUUAGUAAAAGAUUGAAUAGUCUAUUGUUCAAUUAUUUAGCCCCCCACCCCAAUUUGCAACAAAUUGUUGUUCCCAUCUCAUUCCUUUCCCUCUUUUACCCGUCAUCAUUCUGCUCCUGAGUGGCUCGCUUGUGGGCGUGCUGGCAGGAUAUGGCAGCAUCUUCGGUUGUGCGUCAAUAAUUCUACAUACAGUAGCACGUUUGUAUGAAGGUGUGGUUAUUCACAGGCAAAUUGUUAUAUGCUAUGGAGGUACAUUUGUGUAUUUUUGUCAAGAGCAAAAACUUUUAUUUUUUUCCAAUCACAAAUAAUUGUUAUGAAAGCAACUUUUCUCCGACACAAAGGAGAAGCAGCACUGGGCUGUAUUGAUAUAUUCUAAAAUUGACAUCUGCUGCUUUAGAUUGAACAGUCAUAUCUCAGUUAUUGUUUUCAUAUCUAUAAAAAAAUAAGCUGUUUUCUUUACUUUCAGAGAGCGAGAUGAUCAAGAGGUGGAAAAUGUAGAUAUUGCCAGAUGUUCACUGUCUGAGGAACAGGCCGUGGAAGCUUUAUCGCUGGCCAAAGUGUCCAUAACUGCUCUGUGUUCUUUUUCUCAAUCUCUGCCUGUCUUGUUGUACAUGGAACCUGUCUCACAUGCAUUAAUUUAAAAAACCUUAAGAUGUAAAUCUGAAAAUUAGCAGCUGACACCACAUAAACACAGCCAUUUUCACUGGACUAUCUGUUGCUGCCAGGUCAUGAUUUCCCUGGGGGUUAGCCUUUUAAUAACCAAGUGGUGAGACACAUAGCCCUCUAUAUUUAAAUGUUUCAGGUACACUCAGAUAGGUGUCUGUGUCGCAUACAGUAUCUUCUAUUGACAUUAUCUUCUAUUGUUUGUCUUCAUGUCUGUUUUUCAGCAUAAAGUACUCUGUAGCCACUCAGUGUGGACACCAGGUGAGACCACACACACACACACAAUAACAGUCUCUCUUCUUCACUUCAUCCCUCUCCCCCUUCUCCCUAAAUCCUCUAGGUUUUAUCAGCUGUUUUGGUGAACCCCUCCCGCAUCUGAACUGUCUGACACAGACGGCACAGCAUGAUCAUAGGUAUGUUUUGAUGUGCGAGAGAAAGCCAGUCCCAUCAUCGCCACCUCACCUGCUCUUAAAAUAACCUUCGGGCCAACUGGGGGCCCAAGGCUGGUUAGGAGACACCGCAAUUGUGAAGAACUGAGAGAAUAUUAGGGUAGCACUGUAAUUCAUUAAUCAUAUGCUGUCUACCGCUGUUCUUAACUCUUUCCCUUUCUGUCUUCUACACCUCUCUCCCCACCUCGUCUUUCUUCCUCAAUUUAUAUGUGCAUUGAAGUACAGAUUGAACUUGUAUUUAUAAUAUAUUAUACCAAUUAUCAUAAUUAUAAUGCAUUUAUAACACCUGGAUAAUGAACUUAUUUCAAUAAAGCGUUUCACAUUCUCCACUGGUUGAAAUUAAAUAUCUUAUUGAAAUACUA